AAAGAUUAAGCCAUGCAUGUCAAAGUAUAAGCACUUGUACUGUGAAACUGCGAAUGGCUCAUUAAAUCAGUUAUCGUUUAUUUGAUUGUACCUUUACUACUUGGAUAACCGUGGUAAUUCUAGAGCUAAUACAUGCGAAAAGUCCCGACUUCUGGAAGGGAUGUAUUUAUUAGAUUCAAAACCAAUGCGGGUUCUGCCCGGUCAUUUGGUGACAAAUGUGCCAAUGUACUGCCUACCGCCAACAGUCAAUCAACUAAAAAAGGGUCAAUGGCAGGCUUGACAGUUGACCUUCAUAAUAUUCAAAGCCAGUAAAUAAAA
rnacentral:ncRNA from 1 species